rnacentral:sRNA from 1 species
UCAAUCGUUGUUAGAUGCACGUUGUCAU